GCAGGCCUAACACAUGCAAGUCGAACGAACUCUUCGGAGUUAGUGGCGGACGGGUGAGUAACACGUGGGAACGUGCCUUUAGGUUCGGAAUAACUCAGGGAAACUUGUGCUAAUACCGAAUGUGCCCUUCGGGGGAAAGAUUUAUCGCCUUUAGAGCGGCCCGCGUCUGAUUAGCUAGUUGGUGAGGUAAAGGCUCACCAAGGCGACGAUCAGUAGCUGGUCUGAGAGGAUGAUCAGCCACAUUGGGACUGAGACACGGCCCAAACUCCUACGGGAGGCAGCAGUGGGGAAUCUUGCGCAAUGGGCGAAAGCCUGACGCAGCCAUGCCGCGUGAAUGAUGAAGGUCUUAGGAUUGUAAAAUUCUUUCACCGGGGACGAUAAUGACGGUACCCGGAGAAGAAGCCCCGGCUAACUUCGUGCCAGCAGCCGCGGUAAUACGAAGGGGGCUAGCGUUGCUCGGAAUUACUGGGCGUAAAGGGAGCGUAGGCGGACAUUUAAGUCAGGGGUGAAAUCCCGGGGCUCAACCUCGGAAUUGCCUUUGAUACUGGGUGUCUUGAGUAUGAGAGAGGUGUGUGGAACUCCGAGUGUAGAGGUGAAAUUCGUAGAUAUUCGGAAGAACACCAGUGGCGAAGGCGACACACUGGCUCAUU
rnacentral:rRNA from 1 species